CCCCGGGCGCACGAGGCCUCAAAUGCGGCUGCGCAGAACGCUGAAGCGCGCGCGCGGCUACUACUGCGGCUGCGCGAACAGGACACGCGCACAGGCGUGUGUUUGCUAGGGUUCCUCCCUCUGGCCGAGGUCUCUCGGGGCAUCUGGUACAGCCUACGCUUUCCG
rfam:Tupaia belangeri cont1.200934, whole genome shotgun sequence.